rnacentral:rRNA from 2 species
UACGAAGGGUGCAAGCGUUGUUCGGAUUUAUUGGGCGUAAAGCGCGCGUAGGCGGACCUGCAAGUCAGAUGUGAAAUCUCGGGGCUCAACCUCGAAACUGCGUCUGAAACUACAGGUCUAGAAUCUUGGAGGGGGAAGGGGAAUUUCGCAUGUAGGGGUAAAAUCCGUAGAUAUGCGAAGGAACACCAGAGGCGAAGGCGCCUUCCUGGACAAGUAUUGACGCUGAGGCGCGAAAGCGUGGGGAUCAAACAGG